UACGUAGGGUGCGAGCGUUGUCCGGAAUCAUUGGGCGUAAAGAGCGUGUAGGCGGUUCGGUAAGUCUGCCGUGAGAACCUGGGGCUCAACCCUGGGCGUGCGGUGGAAACUGUCGAGCUAGAGGAUGGUAGAGGGGAGUGGAAUUCCCGGUGUAGCGGUGAAAUGCGCAGAUAUCGGGAGGAACACCAGUAGCGAAGGCGGCUCCCUGGGCC
rnacentral:rRNA from 1 species